rnacentral:lncRNA from 1 species
CUUAAAUAAAGUAUUUUACCUGGCUGAACAGUCUAAUACAGUUUUGCAGUCCAUUACAAGGCUUGCCCCUCAGCAUUCACUUCCUGACAAUCACGUCUCAGGGUGAAAGCUGGAUGUGUUCAUGUUACUCUGCCAUUCCUUUACGGUGGCUGAAUUGGCAUUUGAGGAGAACAGAGAGAAUUUCAAAACUGCAGAAUUUCCUACUCAAUGGAAAAUCUAAUUCCUGCCUAGUUCUAGCUAAUGGGACCUGAGUGAGGCAACUGGUGUGCCCCUAAGAAUAGGGGAAUGGGGGAAAAAAUGAUCUAAAACCCGCCUUUAUCACUGUUCAUCAAAAUUCGUCCAUACUUAAUUCCAGCCAUCUUUCUUCUUCUUGCCUCCAGUAAGUACUUUAACAUCCUUUUUAAAAAUUAAAGGGGGAGGGUUAUGGAA